UACAGAGGGUGCGAACGUUGUUCGGAAUUACUGGGCAUAAAGCGCACGUAGGCGGUCCUGUAAGUGUGGAGUGAAAUCCCACGGCUCACCCGUGGAACAGCUCCGCAUACUGCAGGACUCGAGGACGGUAGGGGAGAGCGGAACUCCUGGUGGAGCGGUGAAAUGCGUAGAUAUCAGGAGGAACACCGGCGGCGAAGGCGGCUCUCUGGUCCGUUUCUGACGCUGAGGUGCGAAAGCCAGGGGAGCAAACGGG
rnacentral:rRNA from 1 species